UACGUAGGGCGCAAGCGUUUGUCCGGAAUUAUUGGGCGUAAAGAGCUCGUAGGCGGUUUGUCGCGUCUGCUGUGAAAACCUAAGGCUCAACCUUGGGCUUGCAGUGGGUACGGGCAGACUAGAGUGCGGUAGGGGUGACUGGAAUUCCUGGUGUAGCGGUGGAAUGCGCAGAUAUCAGGAGGAACACCGAUGGCGAAGGCAGGUCUCUGGGCAGUAACUGACGCUGGAGGAAGCGAAAAGCGUGGGGAGCGAACAGG
rnacentral:rRNA from 1 species